AUUUUACACCACAUUCAGCAACAGAAGUAGCAUAAAUAGUAGCUUACAGUCCUCCAUAUAGACACAUCUGUGAGUGACCUCAUCCAGAACCAUGUGACUUGGACACUGAGGCAGGCAUCCCUCAACCCUAUAGAAAGGAUGCUGGUACAGCUCAGACCCGACGGGUCACUGCAUGUCCUGAAGCAUGGACUCACACAUGAUUCAUACUGCCACUGGCAUCGAGGACCCAUUGGAUAGUAUGUUUGCAGAUAUGUUGCCACAUGCUGACCUGUCAGUUUGAAUAGAGUCGCUCGGCGGUACCGAUCUGAGUGACUGUAUUUCAUGAGCUGAAGUCUGGACGGCAUGAAAUGCAGAAAAAACCCAGGCUUUGCCAGGGA